UACGUAGGGUGCAAGCGUUAAUCGGAAUUACUGGGCGUAAAGCGUGCGCAGGCGGUUAUGCAAGACAGAUGUGAAAUCCCCGGGCUCAACCUGGGAACUGCAUUUGUGACUGCAUGGCUAGAGUACGGUAGAGGGGGAUGGAAUUCCGCGUGUAGCAGUGAAAUGCGUAGAUAUGUGGAGGAACACCGAUGGCGAAGGCAGCCCCCUGGGCCAACACUGACGCUCAGGCACGAAAGCGUGGGGAGCAAACAGG
rnacentral:rRNA from 1 species